rnacentral:rRNA from 1 species
AAUCAACGCUGGCGGCGUGCCUAACACAUGCAAGUCGAACGAGAAAUGGGGGCGAACCCUGCGAGUACAGUGGCAGACGGGUGAGUAACACGUGAACAACUACCCUUGAGUGGGGAAUAACACCGCGAAAGCGGAGCUAAUACCGCAUAACAUCUUGAGCUCGCAUGGGCGAGAGAUCAAAGCCGAAAGGCGCUUGAGGAGGGGUUCGCGGCUGAUUAGCUAGUUGGUGAGGUAACGGCUCACCAAGGCGACGAUCAGUAGCCGGCCUGAGAGGGCGAAACGGCCACACUGGAACUGAGACACGGUCCAGACUCCUACGGGAGGCAGCAGUGGGGAAUUUUGCGCAAUGGGCGAAAGCCUGACGCAGCAACGCCGCGUGGAGGAUGAAGGCCUUCGGGUCGUAAACUCCUGUCGACGGGGAAGAAAGCCGAAAGGUUUGACUGUACCCGUUGAGGAAGCCACGGCUAACUCCGUG